rnacentral:lncRNA from 1 species
AUUUGCCAGACACUGUGUUUAGAUGUCAUUGUGGUCAUUUGGGAUGUUGCAUUUUUCUCGGAUUAUCAGCAUUGAUGAUUUUUACAUAUAUGACUUAUUUCUGGUUUAUAUUUUAACUGGGACUGCAGGUCAAUUCAGCCACUAGGUAGAGCACAAACCUUUUAUUACUAGCAUAGUUUGGCCCUAUGUGAUUAUUAGAAAUAGUGAACACUGGUGUCCAGAAGAAGUAAAAUUAGCAAUCCAUUUUUUCCCAGGUUUGAGUCAGUGCCUUUCAAGCCUAGAUCUGUGUACCCAUGGUCGUAUGCCUGACAAAAAUAAUAUUUUCAUUUUUUUGAUUAGUCUCACAUUUCAUCUCUAGGGCUAUAUGUAAAAAAUUGGGUUUAAUCUGUACACAGGUCUCCAACCUAUUUUUGGCCUUAGGCUCUUGUGAUUGAGAAAUUCCUAGAUUUAGGUAUUAAAAAAAAUUGUUUUUAAAGGUAUUGGGGAUUGAACUCAGGGGCACUCUACUACCUUAGCUACAUCCCCAGCUCUUUUUUAUUUUAUUUUGAGACAGGAUUUUUCUAAGUUGCCCAGGCUGACCUCAAAUGCAUUAAUGUUUUCUAAUAUCCGUGCCAUUGAAUUCUAAAUGGUCAUAGUUCCUGUAGCAGUUCCAUAGUUAUUCCAGAUAAGGAUAGGGGUAAUGGUUAAGCUCUUCUUUAACCUUCAGUUUCCAUAGAAGGUUGAAUAUAGAACAAACUUGCAGAACACGUUUACCUAUACUUUAUAAAUUUUCAGUUAAUUUUUUAAUCAGAAAAUUUUCAUGACAUUGAUUGUUGGGUAAGAUUAAGAAUUAUUGCUGGGUGCCUUGGUGCUGGUCUGUAAUCCCAGUGACUCAGGAGACUGAGGCAGGAGGGUUACAAAUUCAAAGCCAGCCAGAGCAACUUAAUGAACUCCUGUUGCAAAAUAAAAAAUAAAAUGGGCUGGGGGCAUGUAGCUCAGAGGUAAAGCUUCUCUGGGUUCAAUCCCCAGUAUCAAGAAAAAAGAAAUUAUUUUGUUUGGGGGGGAUGGGAGUAUAGAGGCCCUGGGUUUACUUCCUAGCACCACAAAAAAAAAAAAAAAAGUCAUUUAUGUAGGUCUUAUCAAGCUCCUGGCUACAAUAUUUUUAUUUCCUUUAUGGAAGGGCUAUGGGAAGUAUAAGUAUAUCCAGAGCAAUGAGGAAAGGCCAUAGGGAAAUUAUUUAUAAAGUUUGGCUAAGAGUGAUUGUGGACUCUUGCUUGGAGGUCUUUAAGAACAGGAUAGAUCAUCCUGUGUUUGGAAUGGUCUAAGGGCAAAGGAGAAGGACUGGAUUAGCAGGCCCCUUAGAGACCCCAAGAGUUCUGGAGAUGCGUACGUGGCCCGUGUCAGUGACAGAUGGAAAAGUAAGUUCAACAGAUGUCAUGUUUGCUGUUCCCAGGCUGUGCUUCCUUUAAUGUGGUGACCUUCUGGGAGCAUUGUCCUAAAUGGUCUGCAAAAAGGAAAGGAGUGUAUCUAAGCUUCUGGUAAACCUAAUUUGGGUGGUUUAUUACGUCCUGCUGCUUUAUUUUAAACACCUAGUGAUCCAGAAAAGUUGUGCUUUGCCUAGAAUUCCAAAACAAGGAAACAAAACACUACUCUCUAGUUUCUGAAGCCAUUUUCAAACUCUGCUGCUCCUGAAGGGAUUUUGUUUAGGUGGGAUUCCCUGAUGUUGGCUAAAGAAUCCUUCCCUUGAGGGAUGAUGGGAAAAGAUGAGGUGGGCAAGGAGGAUGUCUGAGACCAAGCAGGACUUGUUGAGAAAGAGGACCAACAGAGGAGGGCAUCACGUGGGUGCCCUUGGCUCCUGCCUUACUACUUCAGACCCACAGAAUGAAGUGGCCAGCUAAUUGUGGGGACUGAAGAAAUCCUCCUUUUUUCAGGUCACUUUACUUAUGUCUCCGAUAAAUGGUUGACUCACCUCUUGAGAAGUUCUCUUUAUAAAAAAGAAGGAAAAGAAAGUCUCUGAAAUUCCAAAACUCUUUCUCUGCCAUUGCUGUGCUUGUAUGAGCAUGUGAUGAACUGAACCCACCAGACUAUAGUUUAAACUUAAAAAACAAAACAAAACCCCAGAAAGACUAAUGUGUUUUAUGGUGGUGUUUUUAUACAAGUGACUCAUUGCUAGAAGUAUAUCGACCAUUUUAAUAUGCAAUCUGAUCUUUCAGGGGAGACAUUUAAAUUCUCAGUACAGACACUAUACUUGGGACAAAUAAUUGUGUUUGUACCUUGGUGCUAAUAUCAGUCAUGUCCUCACUGGAUGCUUGUUUCCAA